GAGUUUGAUCUUGGCUCAGGAUGAACGCUGGCGGCGUGCCUAAUACAUGCAAGUCGAGCGAACGGACGAGAAGCUUGCUUCUCUGAUGUUAGCGGCGGACGGGUGAGUAACACGUGGAUAACCUACCUAUAAGACUGGGAUAACUUCGGGAAACCGGAGCUAAUACCGGAUAAUAUUUUGAACCGCAUGGUUCAAAAGUGAAAGACGGUCUUGCUGUCACUUAUAGAUGGAUCCGCGCUGCAUUAGCUAGUUGGUAAGGUAACGGCUUACCAAGGCAACGAUGCAUAGCCGACCUGAGAGGGUGAUCGGCCACACUGGAACUGAGACACGGUCCAGACUCCUACGGGAGGCAGCAGUAGGGAAUCUUCCGCAAUGGGCGAAAGCCUGACGGAGCAACGCCGCGUGAGUGAUGAAGGUCUUCGGAUCGUAAAACUCUGUUAUUAGGGAAGACAUAUGUGUAAGUAACUGUGCACAUCUUGACGGUACCUAAUCAGAAAGCCACGGCUAACUACGU
rnacentral:rRNA from 1 species